AACCCCUCUCCAUAUCAGGACUUGGUAGCGAAGCUCCACUCCAUCAGUUCCAGGGCUGAACUCCCCAGUGACUCCCAGCCCACGACCAGCCCACUUGACAUUGAGGUUCAAAUCGAUGCCAAUAAGGAGCCACAGGGGAGAGAAGGUGCUGUUGAGCCUGUCGCUAGCCCACCCACUGAUGCCGCCUGCAGAUUUAAGAUCCUGAUGUUAAUCCUGAUAUUUCUGAUUGUCAUCUCCCUCAGCGUCUGCCUCUUUGUGAAGCUCAUCUACUUGCCAAAGCAUCACAAGUUUCCCUGCUGGAAUUCAAGCCUUUCAUGCAAGGAGGAAAAAAACUGCAGCUUGUCGUCCACCGCUGCUGCAUGCGUGGUCAAGAAGGAGAUCAACAGCACCACACUGACCUCAAAUGGUGAAUGUAGCGCCU